UCCGGAGGAUGCAAGCGUUAUCCGGAAUGAUUGGGCGUAAAGCGUCCGCAGGUGGCGAUGUAAGUCUGCUGUUAAAGAGUCUAGCUCAACUAGAUAAGAGCAGUGGAAACUACAUAGCUAGAGUACGUUCGGGGCAGAGGGAAUUCCUGGUGUAGCGGUGAAAUGCGUAGAGAUCCGGAGGAACACCAGCGGCGAAGGCGGCAUCCUGGACUGGUCCUGACACUCAGGAGCGAAAGCGUGGGGAGCGAUCCGG
rnacentral:rRNA from 1 species